GAAAUGUCACCAUCCUCGCUCCCAUUCCUGUUCAGUCUCAGGGUUCAGCAGGAGGAUCAGACCUACCGCACUCUGGUUUCUGAAGCUGUAGAUGGCCUUUGUUGGAUUUUGACUUUAUAAGUAUUUUCCAAAUAUUUUAAUAUGCCAUAGUUAUUACUUAAUAUUUAAAUCUUCUUAACAUGCUAACAUUCCAUUUGACACAUGAGUUUCUGAAUAUUGAUGAUGUUUAUAUUAGACCUUAGGCUUUACACAAAUGUUUGUACAAUUUUUAAGGUAAUUGUGUGCACAGGCAAGGUACUGCAUCUCUCAAGGCCUCCAUCAAAGCCAAACUGGAAUUUUAUUAUGGAGCAAGAGGGUUAUAACAUUCAUUCUGGCAAUGCCUUAUAUCCCUUGCCUUAUGAAACCUUUCCACAGCCAUCAACUCGGGAGGCCAAGCUCUGAGAGAGUUUGGCUAGUGUGGUUACUAACAGAGAUAAAACUUAGACAUAAAGAGAUGAUUUAAGAAGAUUUGCAAGUUGUCCGGUGGAAAACAAGAACAGGUCUCCUCUCCUCAGUCCCAGAAAUGGACUUCAGGCCUCACAUUGGAAAGCUUCCCUCUUGGUUCAGCUAUCCCUGGGUUUGGUUCCAGCCGUCCGUGCACUUGCACUGUGGGAAGAUGGGCUUGCAUACCAAAGGCUUCCAUGCUGGUGAUGGAAAGUGACAAACCAGAUGCCACGGCUGGAAAGAAGACCCUGACCUCAGGACUUGCUGCUUCCCACCUGGUGGUCUUCAGAGAGAAAGAGAGGGGCUACCUGUCCACACUACCCAGGUUUACAGAGUCCUGAGCAUUUCUCAGGGCCUCAACCUCAGCUGCGGUCUGGGCGUCCUUCCCACAGCCUCUCCCAGGGGCCCGUGUUUCUCCAGUGCAGUCAGAGUGUCACUCUACAGCCAUGGACAGCAAGACUUACAGAAAAUCCAAAAGCAGUAGAAAUGGAGAAAGAGGCUUUUCUCUGCAGCAAAAGUAUGCAAGUAAGAGAAACUAACGGCAUACAGACUCUGCAACUCUGGGGAAAGUUUCUGCCACAGACAUGCUUUGGGUAAGAGUAGAAUAAUAUCAGGGAACAAGAUUGGAGUUAUCAUCUCAAACAGGUAAUGGGCCAUUUAGCACUGAGAUGCUCCCUUGCUGCUUUGCAACUGUGCUUGCAGCAGUAGGACUCAGAUUUAGGAACAGGGCUCAUUCCUGCUGUCGAUAGCAUUUCAUUUACGGGUAAACGCAGUGAGGUACAGGGUGUGUGUGCCCAGCCACAGCUGCCAGAGAGCCAGAAGGCUGGGCUCCUGGGGACAACAUCUCGUUUGACUCUCACCUGCUGGCAGCCACCUGCAGGGAGGUAAAGCUCCUAGGAAGAA